UCUCCAAUUGCCGGACAACACAAUGACUUUGGAGGCAUGGGUGGAAUGGACCCAUACUCGACAGUGGGAGGAAUGGGCGGAAUGGAUGGAAUGGGCUACGGUGACCCAUACAUGAUGGGAGGCGGCAUGGGAGGAGGC